GACAGAGGUGCCAAGCGUUAGGCGGAAUCACUGGGCUUAAAGCGUGUGUAGGCGGAUCGUUAAGUACCUUGUGAAAUCCCCCGGCUUAACCGGGGAACUGCUGGGUAUACUGGCGAUCUUGAGCCACCUAGGGGCGAGCGGAACAAAUGGUGGAGCGGUGAAAUGCGUAGAUAUCAUUUGGAACGCCAACGGUGAAAACAGCUCGCUGGGGGUGUGCUGACGCUGAGACACGAAAGCCAGGGGAGCGAACGGG
rnacentral:rRNA from 1 species